rnacentral:tRNA from 1 species
GCACCUAUAGCUCAGGGGAUAGAGCACAACUUUGCGGAAGUUGGGGUCGCAGGUUCAAAUCCUGCUAGGUGCGCCA